ensembl:lncRNA
CUGGAAUGCUUGUGAGAAAGGCAAAAAAUAUUCAGAUAACUUAUUAAUUAAAUAUAUUAGCAGUACAUUUGGACUGAAGAGUUAUUAACAUAUCCAGGCUCAAAAAUAAAACUUCUCCUAGCUUUUAAGAACCAAGUUUAAAAAGCAAAGCCAAAAUUUGUAAGAAGUCUUAAACCAGGAUUGGAAAGUCUAGUAUGUUUGCUUAUAGAUUUUGUUAUAUAUGUUAUUUUCCUAUCAAUCCUCUCCCAGAAAUAAUAAUCAAGUGCCCUUCCCACAGUUACAGAGAACUUUACCCUAUGUAUUCCCAGAAACUACAGGUUACACCACAUAGGUCAGCUUCUGUAUUGUUAUCUUAUAUUCCCCUGGUUGUUUUAUGGGUCAUAUUCUUGUAUUUCAAGUAGCUUAUAAACUAUUUAAGGGUAAAAAUUAUCCUUACCCUGUGUCCUUAACACACCUGACUCAGUGUGAAAGCCAAAACAUAUCCUUGAUUAAUACUUGAAUGGCUCAUUGAUUUUUUUUUUUAAUCUAGUUAUCUUAGUUUAUAUAUAUGCUGCUGCUGAUGCUGCUAAGUUGCUUAAGUCAUGUCCGACUCUCUGCGACCCUAUAGACGGCAGCCUACCAGGCUCCUCUGUCCCUGGGAUUCUGCAGGCAAGAAUACUGGAGUGGGUUGCCAUUUCCUUCUCCAAUGCAUGCAUACAUGCUAAGUCACUUCAGUCGUGUCUGGCUCAGUGCAACCCUAUGGACAGCAGCCCACCAGGCUCCUCUGUCCUCAGGAUUCUCCGGGCAAGAAUACUGGAGUGGGCUGCCAUUUCCUUCUCCAAGUUAAUAUAUAUAUAUAUAUGUUUAGAUAUUUAAAAAUUUUAUUUCAAGGGCAAAGAGAGGGACAUCCAUCCAUUCAAAACAUUUCUUAAGACCUAGCUAUAUUCUGGACACUGGGCCUAUGCUCAGACAGCAUAUAAAAGUUUACCCAUGCUCACUUUUAAAAAUAGCAACAGAUAAAGAGAUAGUUUCAAUAGAUAAGAUUACACGUACACGUAUAUAUAGAAUUUCUCAUUUCCAGACGUUAGAGAAGCAACUAGUGAAAGAACUAAGGUGAAAAAUCUGAGCGGGAAGAGAAUGAAAAAGGGAAAAUAAGGCAAUAUAGAAGGCAGAGAGAACUUGGGACAUGAGGAGAGAGGGGUGUAGAAGAUGUUAGAGAAUUCAAAUCUUGGCAUUUCUCAUUAACCAUAGUUUACAGCUUUUUAACUUCUGUCAUUAAAUCUUCAUACACUAUAACUGGAACAGAAAUGGUAAUUAAUCUCAAAGAGAAGUUAUUCUUUGGCCUAAAGCUUUGGCUUCCUGGGAAUGAAUGUACUAAGUGGGGUGGGGGUCCUAAGUAAGGAUGAAAGCAAAGAGGAUAUAAGGCAGCUUUUAAUGCCACCUCUAAAGUAGUCAGCCUGGUAAGAAAUCCCACAGAGGAAGCUUACAAUCUUGAAUCAAAUUCUAAAGAAGUACGCCAAAUCCAGUCUUACCCAGCAGACAUCGACACCUAAGCAGGGUAGAGAUGGAGCCUAUCGAGGAGUGGCUUUCAAGACAGUUUGAAAAAUGUGAUUGUCAGCCAGUGCACUUCUGAAGAAAGGCUGGCAUGCAUGGAAUAGGACACCAGCUUCGGGAAGCAUUGUUAGCAGACAUAAAGCAGAAAAAGCAAUUUGGGGUUCACCACCUGAGUAGGAAGCAGGACUCCCUUCUGGGUGUGAGAAUCCAAGGAAGAUAAAAAUCUCCUAUUUCCUCAGAAGAUUGAAAGAAAAGACACUGAAAUCAUGGCUGUCGCUCCAGCUGGGGUACUCUGGCCUCUUCCUAGAGGCAUUUUGGUGUGUCAGCUCAUAGUCACUUCAUUUUUCGGUCCUUAGCCAUGGAGAUGCUAAAGAUGAUUUGUGAAAUUCUUCUGAUUAGCAAGUGAAAGUCAUUGCAUUCUGGCUAGGGAGAUUUUGUUGGAUUCAGAGAGGGAUAGAGCCCUCUGCAGAUGACUGUGGAAGCGUUAUUUCUAACGGAGGCAAGAGAUAUAGGACUGUGGUUUAAAGUCUACGUCCUUUACUGGAAGACAAAAAUCAAAGGCAUUUAAAAAUCAUGUGAAUUGAGUUUACAGAGGAAGCAGAAACAGAAAGAUCACAGGCUUCAGACAGGUAGAACUGCAUUGGGAUCCCAGCUAAUGGAAAUAUUAGUUAGUUUCUCUGAGUUUCAGCUUCCUCGUCUAUAAACUGGAAAUAAAAAUAUGCACUUCUCAGUUUUAUAGUCAAAAUGGAAAGAAUAUCUCCUGUAUGUCUCAAGCAAUGCUGACCUUAUGGAAGACAUUUAACAGUACUUCCUCAUAUAAAUUUUGUUUUCUGUCCAAAAUCAUCAAAUUUCCAUUACUCUGGAUUCCACUCAGAGACACAUGUAUUUAAAUGUUUCAUGGCUUAGUUUUAAUUUGCAGCUAAGAAAAGCGAUUCAUGGGACAACAGAGCACUGAUCCAGUUAUUGACAUAGUAUCUGAGGACAGUCAGACUUAAAAUUCUCAUAUGAGGCUGAUUAUAGCCAUGAAUAGCAAAUUCUUAAGUAAAGAUGCUUCCUAUGCAAGGGGUUAUAUUUAUACUUUUGAUUAAAAUUAAUAUUUCACCUACCUCUGCUGACCCAGGUCCUGAUUUAAUAUCCUUAAGGCUUGAUGCCUAAGGACCAGCAUGUGUUAAUUUCUACAGCUCUUAAAAUGGCACGUCUGUUAGAACUCAGUCAUGCUAGUGAGAGUUGCUAACUACAGAGCUUGCUGAAUUUGCUUUUGAGUAAGAUCUGUGCAGGCCUCUCAGAGUUCCCAGUAUCCAAGUUCAAAACUGAGAACUUUUGGAAGUGUUGACUAUGAAUUAGUCAAAUAUAAAAUCCAUUCAAGAGGAUUUUAAGUUCUUUAUUUUUUAAUUUCUGUGUGUGAAGUGAGAACAGAACACAUAUCAGAAGAAAAGAAGCAAGAGAACAUGGGAAAAACUCAAGAGGGUAUUUCACAGCUUUGUAAGGUUUUUCUGAUUUCUUUGGAAACUAUGUAAAUGAACUCCUUAAUCACAGACUAUCGUUGAUUUUUACCAAUGUUCAUUGAUUCCCUCGUCAUUGCUUCAUGUAUGUGUUCUCCCAAAACAUCUAGUAUCGACAUUUCUCUCCACCAACUCUGUCCCCAAUUCAUUAUAAGUGUAUCAUUAAACCCUGUUUAAUUUCCUAUGAAAGAUUAUAUUAAGUGCACUUUUAGUGUAAUUACGUCAAUAGUGGAAGAUAAACAUGUAUUAGGCAGUGCAAAAUGCUGAUUAUCUGUCAGGGUAAAUCUGUUUAUUUCAGAUAUAGCAAUCGGACAACCUCCUGGUGUUAAUCGAGAAAGUACAUCCUUGUGCCAGGUAGAGUUUGACAGAAAAAUGCUCUCAAAGGCCCCCUGCUGUGGCAUAAUCCUCAUCAUAUAUAAACUUAUAUACAUGUGUAUCUAUGUAAUAAAAUGCAGACAUGUGGAUCAUGAGUUUUAGACAUAUGUACCUAAACACUUUUACUUUGGUGUUUCUGCACAUAUAGAAAAUGAUAUGUAAUUUGAGAAGCACCAACAUCCAGUUUGCAUUAACAUGAAUGGCUUGAGAAAGAGGAGAGUGGAUUUCGGGAUUAGGCUGUGUUUUAGUUUGUGCACAGGGCAGGUUUGCCCUCAGUAAUGUCAGCUCAGAACUAUUUUCAUUAAUCCACAGAAAAAGGAAAGAGCUGGUACAAAGGAGGGGAAUCAGGAAAGGGAGGUUUGUUAUAGGAUGUUCAACUGAUUCUCAAAGCAAGCAUGCUUCUUUUAUUCUUUUUUUUUUUUCCUUAAGAUAGUAGUUUCUAAAUAUAUCCUAGAAACACUGCUGACUGCCAGCUGCUAUUGGGCACAAAUUUCCCCUUAAUGAGAUAAAACAUCAUCAGGAAGUCAACAUACCACACGUGCCAUGGCUGAAUUUUACCAGGUUUUCAUGCAGCAGAAAAUGAAUCGAAAUGAAAAUGAAUUGAAUAUUCAGGCACAGUUUGCGAAGCCCUCUGAAAAAUAAUUUUGUCUGACUUUAUUACAUUGUGAUCAUUUCCUGAAUGCCAUAAAAUGCUGAGUAGAAUAAUAAAAAUUGAUAUGUAUAUUGACAUUUCAGUUUUUCUAAAUAGAAGCUGAGAAAAUAUAAACAGCAUUUGGUCUUUGCAACUCUCUCGACUAACCAUUCGUAUGCUGACUAAUUCACUUACUCUCAGAUACCUCAUUCAGCCUUAAUAUAAAUGUCUUCUGAAAUAAUUUUUCCCCAGUAGAUUAUGCUCAUCUUCAGUUUGAUUCAGAAUUUACAUGUGUAGUUUGCAUAUUUUUGCAUCAGUGUCUGCUUUAAAUUAGAUAAAGGUCACUGUCAUUCAUAAUCAAGAAGAAGGUGGAUUAAAGGUCACAAUUCAAUAAAAAAAUAUGAUUAGAUGUAGAGGUUUGUUCAUGUGAUUCAAUAUCAUUGGAUAAGUGGAAAUCAUGAGCCAACAAAUUAACCUCAAUGUAAUGGGUGACUUGCUUCACUGGAUCAAAAAUAUUCACAGACGUUCUUCCCCCAGUGUAUAACUUGUUUGUCUCUAUGAAGCAAAGACAGUCAAUUCUGUUAAUACUUUUACCAGAAAGUGUCUUUCAUAAUGUUAUUUGGUUUUAGGAGUGACAUAAAUUACAAUUUUGUCUCCAAAAUAAAGUAGUAAGUUAUAAUGAAUUAAUAAUAGACAGAUGUGGAUUAGAAAGUCUCUGGGGACCCAUGGUUACUUCUCCCAUUUUUUCCCUGCGGUGG